rnacentral:rRNA from 1 species
UCAAAAGUGAAAGACGGUCUUGCUGUCACUUAUAGAUGGAUCCGCGCUGCAUUAGCUAGUUGGUAAGGUAACGGCUUACCAAGGCAACGAUGCAUAGCCGACCUGAGAGGGUGAUCGGCCACACUGGAACUGAGACACGGUCCAGACUCCUACGGGAGGCAGCAGUAGGGAAUCUUCCGCAAUGGGCGAAAGCCUGACGGAGCAACGCCGCGUGAGUGAUGAAGGUCUUCGGAUCGUAAAACUCUGUUAUUAGGGAAGAACAUAUGUGUAAGUAACUGUGCACAUCUUGACGGUACCUAAUCAGAAAGCCACGGCUAACUACGUGCCAGCAGCCGCGGUAAUACGUAGGUGGCAAGCGUUAUCCGGAAUUAUUGGGCGUAAAGCGCGCGUAGGCGGUUUUUUAAGUCUGAUGUGAAAGCCCACGGCUCAACCGUGGAGGGUCAUUGGAAACUGGAAAACUUGAGUGCAGAAGAGGAAAGUGGAAUUCCAUGUGUAGCGGUGAAAUGCGCAGAGAUAUGGAGGAACACCAGUGGCGAAGGCGACUUUCUGGUCUGUAACUGACGCUGAUGUGCGAAAGCGUGGGGAUCAAACAGGAUUAGAUACCCUGGUAGUCCACGCCGUAAACGAUGAGUGCUAAGUGUUAGGGGGUUUCCGCCCCUUAGUGCUGCAGCUAACGCAUUAAGCACUCCGCCUGGGGAGUACGACCGCAAGGUUGAAACUCAAAGGAAUUGACGGGGACCCGCACAAGCGGUGGAGCAUGUGGUUUAAUUCGAAGCAACGCGAAGAACCUUACCAAAUCUUGACAUCCUUUGACAACUCUAGAGAUAGAGCCUUCCCCUUCGGGGGACAAAGUGACAGGUGGUGCAUGGUUGUCGUCAGCUCGUGUCGUGAGAUGUUGGGUUAAGUCCCGCAACGAGCGCAACCCUUAAGCUUAGUUGCCAUCAUUAAGUUGGGCACUCUAAGUUGACUGCCGGUGACAAACCGGAGGAAGGUGGGGAUGACGUCAAAUCAUCAUGCCCCUUAUGAUUUGGGCUACACACGUGCUACAAUGGACAAUACAAAGGGCAGCGAAACCGCGAGGUCAAGCAAAUCCCAUAAAGUUGUUCUCAGUUCGGAUUGUAGUCUGCAACUCGACUACAUGAAGCUGGAAUCGCUAGUAAUCGUAGAUCAGCAUGCUACGGUGAAUACGUUCCCGGGUCUUGUACACACCGCCCGUCACACCACGAGAGUUUGUAACACCCGAAGCCGGUGGAGUAACCUUUUAGGAGCUAGCCGUCGAAGGUGGGACAAAUGAUUGGGGUGAAGUCGUAACAAGGUAGCCGUAUCGGAAGGUGCGGCUGGAUCACCUCCUUU